UACGUAGGUGGCAAGCGUUGUCCGGAUUUAUUGGGUCUAAAGGGUGCGUAGGCGGCCCUGUAAGUCAGUGCUGAAAUAUCCCAGCUUAACUGGGAGGGUGGCAUUGAUACUGCGGGGCUAGAGUACAGAUGAGGUAGGCGGAAUUGACGGUGUAGCGGUGAAAUGCUUAGAUAUCGUCAAGAACACCUAUAGCGAAGGCAGCUUACUAGGCUGUAACUGAUGCUGAGGCACGAAAGUGUGGGGAUCAAACAGG
rnacentral:rRNA from 1 species